GGCAGGGGGGAGGGGGACUGGGCGGGGCGGCCCAGGACGCCUGGGUCUCUGCCCCUCCCAUUUGCUGGGCUUCCGUGGCUCCAUCCCCGGGAGGCCGGGCAAGGCUGGCAGAAGAGAAAGAGAAGUAGAGGCACAGAUAGGCCUAGGCCUGAGGUCGUAUACGGAAAACAAGGCCCCACGUUGUUGGCAGAUCCCUCAGGGUGAGGGAUGCCUGCGUUUGCCGAGCUGGAGUCUCACCAGACAGAAAAGGCUUCUCCUCUGAGCUGUUCUGCCGCCUGCCCUCCCCAUCUCUGAUCCAGCCCUGACCUGUCCUACUCCCUGGAAAGAGGAGCCUGUCUGCCUCCAAAGCUGCAGAGCGUGUGAGGGUAGCCGAAUAGCUCUAAGUGGUGGAGAAAACAUCUUAUUUACAGAAGAAUUCCAGCUAAUGUGGAAGGAAUAUGGAAUAAGAAAAAUCACCACUUUGCAACCCCUAAUGAAAUAACUGGCCAAAGCAAGAACCAUCAGUGGUGCUUGAUGGACAACUUUACAAUGGAGGAACUCAGCUGUCAACACUGACCCUACUGAUGAAUCUUAGCUUCACUGAAAGGGGCACAAGCACACACAUGUACCUCCUGAUGUGAUGCAACCUGAGGCACCCACCACUACCUAGGAAGGAUGUGCCAAACAAAGAAACAAACCAAAAAACUGAACAUGACGCUGAUCGAACCUCUAGAGCUGACCUCCAUUUAAUACUGGGGAUGGAGGGACAAAUUAAAUGACACAAUGAGGAAGUAAGAAGACACAUCCAGAAUGUGGGACAUUCUAUGGAAAUCUGACCCAAUUUCUUCAACUAGUUAACAGCUGGGGGAGGGAAAGUGAGAGGGGACAUGAAAAGACAAUUACCACGUGGAACAUGUGGACCUUGAUGGUUCCUGAUUUGGACAACCCAAUUGCAAAAAAGACAUUUGCAGACAGUUGGGGACAUUUAAUUAUGGACUGAGUAUUUAUGAUGCCAAGGAAUCAGUGUUGAUUUUGUUAGAUGUAAAAAUGGCUCUGGGGUUAUGUAAGAAAAAGUCCUUAUUUCCUAGAGAUGCAAACUGAAAUAUGGAAUGAAGUGACAUAUUUAAUUUUCAACAUUUCAGCAAAUAAAAAAGGACAGAAAGAAAGGAAUAGAAAGAACAUAGUGAAAAAGUCAAUAUUGUUGAAUUAAGGAUAUAUAGGUUCAUGGAACUAUGCUCUCUAUUUUUGUGUAGGUUUGGACAUCUUCAUAAUAAAAGUUUUAAACGAU